UCAAGUUCCAGAAUCAUCAAAGUGAAAAUAAUUUUCGAAGCGAACAGUUCGUCAAAAAAGUGCAAAAAUGAAAUUCUUCGUGGUAUUCAUGGCAUUGUGCGCAAUUAUUGCUUGUGUCAAUUCAACCCCGAUGUUUGGCCACUGGUGGAAACCACAUAAAGGCGGUCCAGGAGGUAUUUUCGGUCGUCCACAUCCAGGUCGUCCAGGUCAUCCAGUACGUCCACAUCACACUCCAAAGCCCGACUCGACCACUCCAUCCGGUGAUGUCACUACACUUACUCCAGAAACAUCCACCUCAAAAUAAGUGUUGGCUGGAUUUUUUAAGCAUCAACGGAAAUUUAGAUGACAUUUUCGGGACCUUUUAAGUUUUAACCAUCAAAUUUUAAAUAAUGUUUGAGAAAAAUAAAAUCUUUCGAUUCAUUCAGAAUUAAUUCAA